CAGUAGCUGGACCAGCGGAGCCAAGAGAAGCAGCCGUUCUUGACACUGAAGUAAUGGCUGAAAGUGAGCAGGGCCGGGCUGCAGGCUCUCCCCAUGUGCUGAUGUAGGCUGCAGCUUGGUAUGUGGGGUACCACUCAACCAACUGAAAGAGGUGGGCAAAAUUUUGCACUAAGAAGGCCCUGUUGAUUGACAGAGCCGUGCAGAGAUCAAAGGAUGCUCAAAUGUCAUCUGGGAGUUGGAGGAUCUGUCAGAGACUCCUGAAGAAACCAGGUCAUAGAGCAGGAAGAGUGCUUGGAAUCAUGACUCGGAAGGAGGUUGCUCCCUGUGGACGAAGGUACAUCGUAGGGUGGUGAAGUUCUCCUGCUCCUGGGUACAAUUUAGUGGCCACUGACAUGGGUGACUGACUGGGCAGCCAAACAGUAACAAGCACACAGUAGGUUGGCCAGUGAGCACUCAAGCAGGGAAGCAUACAGCUAUUCACAUACUAAAAAACUAAACCUAACCACACCCACUCAACCCAAUCCAAUUUAAGGAGGAUGCUGAGUAACUCUAUCUUGUGCAGACACUGUUUCAGGAAGGGGACAAGCCCACUCAAAUCUUUAGUUAAGAAGCUGCUGGACUGCCCUCAUGUUGUCACAUUACAAUCCGCAAAACCCAUUCUUUAGAAACUACUGGGGACUGAGCAGACACACUGUGGCUCAGUUCUGGGAUUUUAGCUAUGAUUUGGCACGAUAACCCAAGGUUUAGGAUCAGCCAGCAAAGCAAGAAACCAGGGCUUAAUGUAGGCUUGUACUAACUAUGGCACUGUGCUAUCUGAUAUAAUUAUAGCCAUCUCUAUCUUCACCCUGGAUAUGGGAGGAGACUCCCAAGUUAGGUUCUGUGAAACAGAAAAAUAAAAGCAGAGAAGCGGUCCCAGGAAAAUUUGUUGAAGCUGAAACAUAGUUUAGUUUCUGAGCUAUGGUAAACAAUGUAAUGCUACACAUCAGUUAAGCUGAUAGGCACAAAAGCACUCAACUUUGUUGAAUAUUUUAUACUGAAAGGAAAUCUACGAAUAUGUGUACUUGCUUCGUCAUUCACUGUGCUUACAUCCAACAAACCUGUUGAUUUUUUUGUAAAAUAUUUGUAUUAUUUUCAUCAAAAAGUAGAAUACUUUUAACACAAAUAUUACACAUAAUAUAAAAUUCACAAAGUCAGUAAUUGUUCUCUUCUACAAGCAGUUAAUUAGUACUUAAUUGAAACUUAUAUCAUUCUAAUUUGUAAUUCUUAAUGUUGACUUAUUUUCCAUUCAUUUUAAAUUGAUUUAAAUAACAACUAAGCAUUUGUAUUAAAGUUAUAACUUGCCCAUGAUAUAUUUACAAGCUCUAUUAAGUCAAUUGUAUAUAAUAGGCUUUCCAUUUAUCAUUAAAUUCUUCAGCCAAUCUUCUGUUUAUGUAACUAGUUAGUUUUUGCCAUUGCUGCAUAUGCACCUAGUUUAUUUUUCCAAACUUCUUUUGUUGGGUAGUCUUCUGCUUUCCAUUAUGAUCCUAUCAUAGCUGCUGUUAUAUAUGUAAAUACUCUACCAUAUUCCUUGGCAGUUUCUGGUACAAUACUCAGUAGAAUAUUCAAACUACUAAGGUUUAUGAAAUGGGGUUAUAUUUAUGCAUAUAUAUUCAAAAUGGUGGUUUCUAGGAAUACUUCAUACAGGUCUUAUCACAAGCUUAGCACAACCCAUCCAUUUCAUGUUGUUACAUCACGGAGCAAUCCUUUUAAGCCUGUUUCAGAAUGUUUCAAACUUUAUGAAAUGGACUGCAGGGGAAGGAAAACCCUGAAUCAUUCCAUUGUCCUUUUGAACUCCUUUCCCCGCCUUCGGCAUUUAUUCUACCCUAAGGACCUCUUUUCUGCCACUGAUAGAAGAGUGAGCAGAUACUCUUGCACGCAUUCUUCUGCCUGAAGGGUGUGGGUUAAAAAGAUUUUAGUAAGAGUGCCACGCCAACCCUCACAGCCUGGCAACAUUUCUAGGUGCUGCCUGAGGGACAAGAACUUAGGAGUUCCUUCCUUCCAGGAUUCUCACUUGAAUUCAAAAUGGGACUUCUGUAAGAAGCAGCCGAUCAGAUUCCGGGAGUGGAGGGGAGGGACUCUCAGUCUCUGCUUAUGAUCUCGCAGUAGCUAAUCACUUACUAGAGCUCCUGGUUGUGAGGCUAGAAGCAGUUUACCCUUUCAUGGAUUUUGGUAUGGUACAGUGAGUGCUUAAAAUAAGACAAGCAAAUCCUCACCUCCAAAGAUUACAGCCCAUCAGGACAGACUGCCCUACAGUUCCCUGGCUCCUCUUCUUGCCCCUGUUUGCACCAAGUUGAAGUGUCUUAUUUACCAGAAGCAAGUGGUUUUGUAAGUUCCUAUCCUUGGAGAGUCAUUGUUUCCAUGUCUCUGACCAAUUUUGAGUUUUAGAAAGCAACAAGGAAGCAGGUUAAUAUUGCCCAACAUCUAUACUAAAAACAGGAAGUACGUCUCAGGCAGCAGCUGAUAUUUGGAGUCCGUUUGCAGCAGAUGCUGCCGGGGAUGUGUAAGCAGAGCACUGAAGUAAGCAGAGCACACUUCAAAUAUCGUUGGGGGGGGGGGGGAGGAAUCGUAAUUUUCCAGGUACAUGUAGUAGGAGGGAGAGCACUGCAAUGCACAAAUGCACAAGCCACAUUUUGAGUGUGUGGGUGGGCGGGGGGAGAAGGCUAAAGCAGGGUGUUUUUUUGUUCUCUGCCCUCUCUGUGAUUCACAAGUUGCACUUCCCUUUGAGCUGGAAAAGGAAGAGGUAAUGAAAACCAUCUUUUGACAAACCCUUGUCCGGGGUUGAUGUAAGAGUUCUAGCAUUUCAGUUGGAUUAAAACCAAGAGGAGAAAGCGGGGCAUUUCUGACAAUUGUGCUAGAUUUUUGUUUUCUCCCCUGACAUGAGUUCUCUUUUUAAAAGCAGGGGAAUGGAAAUACUACAUUCAGUUCAGUUUCACCUUCUGUACAGAUGAGAAGCACGCAGGACAAAAUCUCCAUUUCUUUUAUGAGAAACAGCCUUGCACCGCCAUUAGCACACAGGAAAAAGUAUGAGGAAAAUAAAUAUUUGAUCCUUUAUGUUACAACGCCAGGUGCUAUGCGGAAAACAACUAAAAAGCAAUACUGGGAUUUUUUUUGUAAUUCUGGUCAUAGGCAAUCACCCUCUUCCUUCCUCUAUUUUCUGCUAGUUGUAUGAACUCCAAAGUUUUAACAUACUCAAAAAUAACCCAGAUAUUCUGCAGUUAAUGUGCCUAAUGUUUAUUGUUAUUAGCUUGGCCUAGAACUCGACCCUUCUGCUAUGCUGAUAAAUUUUCUGCCUUAGAUUCAUGCUGGUGGGAGAAUUUCUUUGGUUCAUCAUUGAAGCAGCAUAGAAAAACCCAAAGGCAAGCAAAGGUUCAAAGAGUUUGUUCCCCCCUCCCCAUCUUCAGUUCUUCAUAGGUCUUAUUUGUCACUCCCACUCCCUGGUCAUGACUAAGCAUGAGAUUAAUUUUGCAUCUUUAGGAGAUAAUGCAGUACGUUAUGAACAAAAAGGGUUAUUAUGCAAGUUGGGGUGGGGGGAAGCAAUGAAGAUGUUUGCUGAGUGGAUUGCUGGAAGCAGGGGGACACACAGUCCAGAAAGCAUUCAUUCCCAUGAGGUUUAAUAAAAGCAAAAGUGGCUAACUAUGGUUGGGAGGGAGGGAGGACGAGUUGGUAUUAGAAAUCAACAAGUAUCCAUUGAAAUUACCCAGAUACCUGCCCAAGGGAAACAUGGUCAUCUAUUAAAUCUAUUGAUGUUUCUAUUUAUGAUGAAAUACAUGUUUUAAGCACAAAUGCCCCUUUCUAAGCAUGUGAGACCAAACCAGUUAGGAAUACUGUGGAAGUUCUAGUUCCCCACAGCAACUAGUAAUUCCACUGAGAAAAUUCAAGCCCCCAAAUAUUGAGGAAUAUACUUAGUCAUGUUGAUUUAUAAAGCAAACCGGCAUGUUCUGCCACAUACACACACACACACACACACACACACACACACACACACAAAGUUCUUGAGUUCAGCAAAAAGUAAACAGAGUUAGCUACAUAAAACAUUAUCCCAAUAAUUCAUGCAAUGCAAACAAUACUAAAGUAAGCUCAUCUAUUCUAACAGUUUGGUUU